CCCGCGUUAACUUCGUGGCGGCAGCCGCGGUUUUACGUAAGGGGGCGUAGAAUAGCUCGCGAAUACUGGGUUUAAAGGGAGAGUAGAUAUGAUGGCUCGUCAGAGGUGAAAUCUCAGGGCUCAACCGACGAAGUGUAUUAAGAGGGGAGAUGUAGAGUGUGAGAGAGAGUAUAUGGAACUCGGAUAUGAACAGGAGCAACUCGGAGAUAGUCGGAAGAACACCACGAUAGAAGGCUCCAUAUUGCGAUCAUUUGGGGCGCAAACAGGUGAAAUAUGUGGGGAGCUUACACGAUUAGAUACCAUGAGUAGUACACGCCGUAAACGAUGCUCUUUAGUGGUGCGGCUGCAUGCAGUUCCAUUCCGCAGGGGGAGCACUAUGCCAUCAUUAAAAGGAAUACGAUUGCAAGGGGGAAAGUACAAGGAAUUGACGGGGUGGUGCACAAGGGGGGGAGCAGGAGGUCUAAUUCGAAGCAACGCGCAGAACCUUAUCCCAUUUGGGCCUGCCUGGACCUCCCCGGGGAUGGGGCUCUGCUUUCGCGGGGUAGUACUCAGGUGCUGCAUGGAGAUGGUCAGAUAAGGUCGGGAGAGAGUGCAUUAAGUCCCGCAACGAGCCCGCACCUAGCCAGUAUUUGCCAUCAGAUAGUCAGGAAUUAUAAUGAGGAAGCCGGGAUAAUUCGAGGAAGCAUGGGCUGACCUCAAGUGGUCACGCCCCUUACACAGUGGGGUACACAGGGACACAAUGGCGGGGGGGUAGACCUAAUCCUUAAAAGUCGUCUCAGUUCGGAUUGCACUCUGCAACUCGAGGGCAUGAAGUUGGAAUCGCUAGUAAUCGCGGAUCAGCAGCCGCCGGAAUGCGCUUGGGU
rnacentral:rRNA from 1 species